rnacentral:rRNA from 1 species
CGACCCCAGGUCAGGCGGGGCUACCCGCUGAGUUUAAGCAUAUCAAUAAGCGGAGGAGAAGAAACUUACAAGGAUUCCCCUAGUAACGGCGAGCGAACCGGGAAGAGCCCAGCUUUAAAAUCGGGCGGCCUUGUCGUUCGA